GGGGGGGGGGGGCGGGGGGGGUGGGGCGGGCGGGGCGGGCGGGGCCGUCGGGUGUGGUGGCGCGCGGGGGGGUGGCGCGUGGGACCCUGCCCUUAGGUUCGGAAUACCUCCCCGACAUGGGUGCUCAUACCGUCGACUGUCUGCGGCCCAAGGCGUUAUCGCGUUUGGAUGGGCCCGCGCUGGCUUAGCUAGUUGUUAGGGUAAAAGCAUACCAAGGCGACGAUCCAUAGCUGGUCUGAGAGGAUGAUCAGCCACACUGGGACUGAGCCACGGCCCCGAAUCCUACGGGAGGCAGCAGUGGGGAAUAGUGGACCAUGGGCGAAAGCAUGAUCCAGCAAGGCCGCGUGAGUGAUGAAGGCCUGAGGGUUGUAAAGCGCUUUUACCCGGGAUGAUAAUGACAGUACCGGGAGAAUAAGCUCCGGCUAACUCCGUG
rnacentral:rRNA from 1 species